AUUGAACGCUGGCGGCAGGCUUAACACAUGCAAGUCGAGCGGUAACAGAGAGAAGCUUGCUUCUCUGCUGACGAGCGGCGGACGGGUGAGUAAUGCCUAGGAAUCUGCCUAGUAGUGGGGGAUAACUUGCCGAAAGGUAAGCUAAUACCGCAUACGUCCUACGGGAGAAAGGAGGGGACCUUCGGGCCUUUCGCUAUUAGAUGAGCCUAGGUCGGAUUAGUUAGUUGGUGAGGUAAUGGCUCACCAAGACCGCGAUCCGUAACUGGUCUGAGAGGAUGUUCAGUCACACUGGGACUGAGACACGGUCCAGACUCCUACGGGAGGCAGCAGUGGGGAAUAUUGGACAAUGGGGGGAACCCUGAUCCAGCCAUGCCGCGUGUGUGAAGAAGGUCUUAGGAUUGUAAAGCACUUUAAGUUGGGAGGAAGAGCAGUUAACUAAUAUUUGACUGUUUUGACGUUACCGACAGAAUAAGCACCGGCUAACUUCGUGCCAGCCGCCGCAGUAA
rnacentral:rRNA from 1 species